UACGGAGGGUGCAAGCGUUAAUCGGAAUUACUGGGCGUAAAGCGCACGCAGGCGGUCUGUCAAGUCGGAUGUGUAAUCCCCGGGCUCAACCUGGGAACUGCAUUCGAAACUGGCAGGCUAGAGUCUUGUAGAGGGGGGUAGAAUUCCAGUGGUAGCGGUGAAAUGCGUAGAGAUCUGGAGGAAUACCGGUGGCGAAGGCGGCCCCCUGGACAAAGACUGACGCUCAGGUGCGAAAGCGUGGGGAGCAAACAGGAUUAGAUACCCUGGUAGUCCACGCCGUAAACGAUGUCGAUUUGGAGGUUGUGCCCUUGAGGCGUGGCUUCCGGAGCUAACGCGUUAAAUCGACCGCCUGGGGAGUACGGCCGCAAGGUUAAA
rnacentral:rRNA from 1 species